rnacentral:rRNA from 1 species
GACGAACGCUGGCGGCGUGCCUAAUACAUGCAAGUAGAACGCUGAAGCGAGGAGCUUGCUCUUCUUGGAUGAGUUGCGAACGGGUGAGUAACGCGUAGGUAACCUGCCUGGUAGCGGGGGAUAACUAUUGGAAACGAUAGCUAAUACCGCAUAACAACAGUUGUUGCAUGACAGCUGUUUAAAAGAUGCAAUUGCAUCACUACCAGAUGGACCUGCGUUGUAUUAGCUAGUUGGUGAGGUAACGGCUCACCAAGGCGACGAUACAUAGCCGACCUGAGAGGGUGAUCGGCCACACUGGGACUGAGACACGGCCCAGACUCCUACGGGAGGCAGCAGUAGGGAACCUUCGGCAAUGGGGGAACCCUGACCGAGCAACGCCGCGUGAGUGAAGAAGGUUUUCGGAUCGUAAAGCUCUGUUGUAAGAGAAGAACGGGUGUGAGAGUGGAAAGUUCACACUGUGACGGUAUCUUACCAGAAAGGGACGGCUAACUACGUG